rnacentral:lncRNA from 1 species
UGUAUUCAGGCAACCGAACUCUCCUUUCUUAUGACCCAUGUAACCGCCUUCACUUUCCAGAACAAGCUGUUCUCAUUUCAUGUAACUGCAUUAUGCUUUAAAUUCUGCAUUUCUGUCAUACCUUAAAAUCUGGGAAUCUAUUGCCUAUCAAAGAGUGGGGUUUUUAUUUAUGUGUCUUGGGAGUGAAGGGCAUUCAGGACUUUUACACUUCUGUCAAAAACACUUUGCCAGUAAAAGAUGAGGACCAUCAUGUAAAGAAUUUAACCUCUUUCAGAACAUGCACACACAACUUAAUGAAGUGUGUGACAUUUAUGCCAACUGUUGGGCUUUUUUCUUAAUUAAAUGACAUAUAUAGAGAGAAAGCAUAAGGCACACAAAGACAGAAAGCAGAAAUUUGAAUUGUCCCUCAAAUAGGUGCCUCAGGACUUUGUGGCAUCUCAGGGUCUUUAGAGUGGCACUAACAUUUCAGUAUAUCUUUUGGGGUGCAUUUUUACUUCAUUUGUUUCAGUGCCAACUCCCAUGCCACCAAGAUUUGUGCUUCUAAUUGGCGCAAUAACUUCCAUUUCUAACUGAGCAGAGUACAGCCUUCGUAUGCACAGUGCAUGAGGUUAAUUUGAAACUUGUCUGUUAAUUUAAAGAAACCUGACCUGUGUUCUACAUUGCAAAUCCUGUUGAGUGAUGCAACUUUAAUUCUAACAACAGACAGAUUUUGCGUCUGUGUGCUUUUCCCUUGAUAUCAUUUUUAAGGCAAAAGUGAUGUGCACUCCUAGCCUGGGAGCUAAGUAGCAUCCACGGUGCUCUCACUUCCCUCCCUAGUUGCCACUUAAACUGCUAGUAAUAACAAAUCCUUCAGGACAUCAAUAGAGUCGCUGUGUUGAAUAAUCGCAGGCUAUCAGGCAGGAGGCUUGCAGCAGCAGCUCCAUUGCCUGUGACAUCACUCCUGAAGCUCAAACCCCACUCUAAGCAGCCUUCAUUAGUCAGUGUGUUGGUCUGUCUGCUUUUUCCAGAUCUACAGACCGUCACACGCGGGAGCAGGCUCUUUGCAGAGGAAGGACUUUGGGAAUCAGAAGCUCUGGGAGAGACGGCGGAAUAAAGAAGGGAGGGAGAGCGGCAGCGAGACCCAGAGAACGCAACAGACACACUUACAAUAUGAAAUUCAUCCUGCCUGGUUACUUGCUGUCCCUUUUCCCCGUUCUGGUUCUCAGCACCAGCCCAUAAUGGCUUGGAGCUGGCUAACUUAGGAUAACACCUUGCCCAAUAUGUGCCUAUGUAACCACUUCACUCAACAGAACUUGCACACUGUUUCAGAUGCCUGCUGAAAAGGUUUGUAUUUCAACAAGCCUACCCUGACAUAUACUAUAGCCACAUAUACUCAUUUUAAAGUUUUAAACAGUGUUAAAAACAGUGUUUUUGACUGUGCUUUAAAGACACACACACAAACAUAUUUGUUUUUAAUAUUUUUGUUGAUAUUAGCUGCAUUUUAUCUACAAUUUUACUAUGGACAAGGCUUAGAGAGC